rnacentral:rRNA from 1 species
AUGACCACCUAUCAAGUCACGUCUGGCAAUAUUGCUAUGCUUUGGAAUGAUAACUGGGAUGGCAAUGUCAUGAAAAUUAAAUUCCCUGAGUUAUACUCUUUCACCCUCCAGGAACAUAUUUCCAUUAAGACUACCAAAAAUAUGGAAAACAUAUAUGAGUUAUAUCAGCUUCCUUUAUCAAUUGUUGCACACCAACAACUUCACAGCUUGUCAGAUCAAUUUAACAAUAUUAGGGAUCACAAUGACAAUGAUAAGUGGAUUUUCCAAUGGGGCAACAGUACUCACAUGACUAAGAAGAUUUACAACUCUUUUAUGGGACAACAUGACACUACUGAUCCCAUUAAGUGGAUCUGGAAAACCUGCUGCCUCCCCAGACAUAAGUUUUUCUGCUGGUUGAUGCUAAAUGACAGAAUUAACACAUGUGAGCUACUUACCAGAAAAUCUUUUCAUUUGGACUCCACUUCUUGUGUUUUAUGCAAUGAUGAAGACAUGGAGGACAGAACCCACCUACUAUUCUCAUGCACUUUCAGUCAAAACUUCUGGUGGAAUAUUGACAUUGAAUGGAACACUGAUCUACACAUUCAUGACAUGAUCUAUGAUGGCAAGCUGAGAUAUAACAUACCAUUCUUCAUGGAGAUUGUGACUGUAGGAUGCUGGAGUUUAUGGAAUCAGAGAAAUGGAAUGAUAUUUGAAAAUAUACCAUGCUCCAUUGCAUCAUGCAAGUUUGAUUUGAUCAACACUUUCAAGCUCACCAUGUUGAGAGCAAGCCUAGCCUUAAGGAUGGCAUGUCAUCCUGAAUAG